CUACGUGCCAGCAGCCGCGGUAAUACGGAAGGUCCAGGCGUUAUCCGGAUUUAUUGGGUUUAAAGGGAGUGUAGGCGGUUUGUUAAGCGUGUUGUGAAAUUUAGAUGCUCAACAUUUAACUUGCAGCGCGAACUGUCAGACUUGAGUACACGCAACGUAUGCGGAAUUCAUGGUGUGGCGGUGAAAUGCUUAGAUAUCAUGAAGAACUCCGAUUGCGAAGGCAGCAUACGGGAGUGUAACUGACGCUUAAGCUCGAAGGUGCGGGUAUCGAACAGGAUUAGAUACCCUGGUAGUCCGCACAGUAAACGAUGGAUGCCCGCUGUUAGCGCCUGGCGUUAGCGGCUAAGCGAAAGCAUUAAGCAUCCCACCUGGGGAGUACGCCGGCAACGGUGAAACUCAAAGGAAUUGACGGGGGCCCGCACAAGCGGAGGAACAUGUGGUUUAAUUCGAUGAUACGCGAGGAACCUUACCCGGGCUUGAAUUGCAGAGGAAAGAUCCAGAGA
rnacentral:rRNA from 1 species